rnacentral:tRNA from 1 species
GCCUUUGUGGUGCAAUGGUCAGCACACUGAGCCGGUAUUUCAGAGGUCCGUGGUUCGAUUCCCGGCGAAGGAA